ensembl:lncRNA
UAAUAAACUGUAAAGUGAGUUUGGAAAUGUGUCCGGACGGGCAGCUGACUUUUUCCUGAUAAAAACAAUCACCAGAAGCGGAGUAAAGAGCUUGACAUGUCUCUUCUGUGUGUCAGAGUAAAGAAGGCCAGACUCCAGGGGCCUCCAGACAAAUUCAACGCCUACGUGACCCUGAAGGUGCAGAAUGUCAAGAGUACGACCGUCACGGUGCGGGGAGACCAGCCGUGCUGGGAGCAGGACUUCAUGUUGUAAGACUCUUCACGUUUCACACUAACACUAACUGAAUGAAAAUCUGCGGGAUUAGCGUAGUACAUAGACGUGAAAACAUGGCGCGCACACACACACACACACACACACACACACACACACACACACACACACACACACACACACUCUUUUGGGAGAGAGGUUUGUGUUUGCAAAUGAACUCUCCCUCAGGCUGUUUGUUUAACAGCGUGGAUACUCAUGGAUCUUAUCGUUCCUUACAUCUCGGACACACCGCUUCAGUCCAGCAUGAAUACAGUCAAGUCCAGAAGAAUUAGCAGAUGGGCAAAAAUGUAUUAUUGCAUAAAACUUUUCAGUGUUUCAGAUCUUCCUUUCACACAAAAUAAAACUACUACUAUUUCUCUCUAAUAAAAUACCAUUAUGAUUUGAGCCAAUUGUAUUGUUAUUUAAUUAUUUUAUAUAUAUAUCAUAUAUCAUAUCAUAUAAUAUAUCAUAUCAUAUAAUAUAGAAGGAGUAGAACUGAUAAAGAGGAGAGAGAGAGAGAGAGAGAGAGAGAGAGAGAGAGAGAGAGACAGACAGACAGACAGACAGACAGACAGAGAGAGAGAGACACACACACAGAGAGAGAGAGAGACAGACAGACAGAGAGAGAGAGACACACACAGAGAGAGAGAGAGAGAGAGAGAGAGAGAGAGAGAGAGAGAGAGAGAGAGAGAGAGAGAGAGAGAGAGAGAGAGAGAGAGAGAGAGAGACAGACCUCAGUGCAGCUCAUGUUAACUUUAUUGUUGAGGUGCGACAGGUAUUGAUCGCAAAUAUCUUCAGUGUUCGGAAAUACAGAGCAACUAUGAAGCCAAUACUAUAGAGUGCUGCGGUGAUGAGCGCUUAAACCCAGAACUGAGUUAGCAUUCUAGCACUUCCUGUUCCACAAGCUCGAGAUAACUUGUGGGACUACUACAAACGGGACCACAGAGGUCGUCGGGAACGUUAAGCGUCAUCACGCCGAACAGGAAAACUCAUCUGCUACAGCCUCGUUGUGUUUACUCACGCUCUUGUAAAUGGGUUACUGAUCAAAGGCUCCGGGUUACUGAUCAGAAGGUCAGGUGUUCAAGCCCCAGCACUGUCAAGCUACCACUGUUGGGCCCUUGGGCAAGGCUCUUAACCCUCUCUGCUGAUUUGUAUAAAUGAGAUAAAUGUAAGUCGCUCUGGAUAAGGGCGUCUGCCAAAUGCCAUAAAAAUGUAAAUGUAAUGUAAAUGGACAUGGCCCGGAGUUUUCAAACGAAAACGUGGUCUUCAGCGUUUCCAAAAGUCUCCGUUUUCGGACGUUGAAGUCAUACGACGGCGGCGUAGUUCGUUUAGAGCCUAACUUCAGCUUUUGACUUCCGCACUCUAUAAUGGACUGGACACACGAUGAGACGUCACGCAAUGUCCAGUCUGUAAGGUCGCGUGUCCAUUCUGUGAAGUCAUCGUCAUCCUG